rnacentral:rRNA from 1 species
AUCCUGGCUCAGGACGAACGCUGGCGGCGUGCUUAACACAUGCAAGUCGAACGGGGUGUUUAUUUCGGUAAACACCAAGUGGCGAACGGGUGAGUAACGCGUAAGCAAUCUACCUUCAAGAUGGGGACAACACUUCGAAAGGGGUGCUAAUACCGAAUGAAUGUAAGGGUAUCGCAUGAGACACUUACUAAAGGAGGCCUCUGACAUAAGCUUCCGCUUGAAGAUGAGCUUGCGUCUGAUUAGCUAGUUGGUGAGGGUAAAGGCCCACCAAGGCGACGAUCAGUAGCCGGUCUGAGAGGAUGAACGGCCACAUUGGGACUGAGACACGGCCCAGACUCCUACGGGAGGCAGCAGUGGGGAAUAUUGCACAAUGGGGGAAACCCUGAUGCAGCGACGCCGCGUGGAGGAAGAAGGUUUUCGGAUUGUAAACUCCUGUUGUUGAGGAAGAUAAUGACGGUACUCAACAAGGAAGUGACGGCUAACUACGUGCCAGCAGCCGCGGUAAAACGUAGGUCACAAGCGUUGUCCGGAAUUACUGGGUGUAAAGGGAGCGCAGGCGGGAAGACAAGUUGGAAGUGAAAUCUAUGGGCUCAACCCAUAAACUGCUUUCAAAACUGUUUUUCUUGAGUAGUGCAGAGGUAGGCGGAAUUCCCGGUGUAGCGGUGGAAUGCGUAGAUAUCGGGAGGAACACCAGUGGCGAAGGCGGCCUACUGGGCACCAACUGACGCUGAGGCUCGAAAGUGUGGGUAGCAAACAGGAUUAGAUACCCUGGUAGUCCACACCGUAAACGAUGAUUACUAGGUGUUGGAGGAUUGACCCCUUCAGUGCCGCAGUUAACACAAUAAGUAAUCCACCUGGGGAG